rnacentral:rRNA from 1 species
AGUGAACGCUGGCGGUAGGCCUAACACAUGCAAGUCGAACGGCAGCACAGUAAGAGCUUGCUCUUACGGGUGGCGAGUGGCGGACGGGUGAGGAAUACAUAGGAAUCUACUUUUUCGUGGGGGAUAACGUAGGGAAACUUACGCUAAUACCGCAUACGACCUACGGGUGAAAGCAGGGGAUCUUCGGACCUUGCGCGAUUGAAUGAGCCGAUGUCGGAUUAGCUAGUUGGCGGGGUAAAGGCACACCAAGGCGACGAUCCGUAGCUGGUCUGAGAGGAUGAUCAGCCACACUGGAACUGAGACACGGUCCAGACUCCUACGGGAGGCAGCAGUGGGGAAUAUUGGACAAUGGGCGCAAGCCUGAUCCAGCAAUACCGCGUGGGUGAAGAAGGCCUUCGGGUUGUAAAGCCCUUUUGUUGGGAAAGAAAAGCAGCAGGUUAAUACCCCGCUGUUCUGACGGUACCCAAAGAAUAAGCACCGGCUAACUUCGUG